CGGGGGGAGCAAGCGUUGUUCGGAUUUACUGGGCGUAAAGGGCGCGUAGGCGGCCACCGCAAGUCAGUUGUGAAAUCUCUGGGCUUAACCCAGAAAGGUCAACUGAUACUGCGGGGCUAGAGUGCAGAAGGGGCAACUGGAAUUCUCGGUGUAGCGGUGAAAUGCGUAGAUAUCGAGAGGAACACCUGCGGCGAAGGCGGGUUGCUGGGCUGACACUGACGCUGAGGCGCGAAAGCUAGGGGAGCGAACGGGAUUAGAUACCCCGGUAGUCCUAGCCUUAAACGAUGAAUGCUUGGGUGUCUGGGGUUUUAUAGUCCCCGGAUGCCGUCGCUAACGCUUUAAGCAUUCCGCCUGGGGAGUACGGUCGCAAGACUG
rnacentral:rRNA from 1 species